AGUGAACGCUGGCGGUAGGCCUAAUACAUGCAAGUCGAACGGAAGCACAAUAAGAUUUUGCCCUUAAGGGUGGCGACUGGCGGGUGGGUGAGGCAUACAUAGGAAUCUUCUUUUUCGUGGGGGACAACGUAGGGAAGCUUCCGAUAAUACAGAAUAUGUCCUACGGGAGAAAUCAGUAGAUCUUCGGAGUUUGGCUGUCAGAUAUAGCCGAUGCCGGAUUAGCUAGUUGGGGGGGUAAGGGCCCACCAAGGCGACGAUCCGUAGCUGACCUGAGAGGAUGAUCAGCCACACUGGAACUGAGACACGGUCCAGACUCCUACGGGAGGCAGCAGUAGGGAAUAUUGGGCAAUGGGCGCAAGCCUGAUCCAGCCAUACCGCGUGGGUGAAGAAGGCCUUCGGGUUGUAAAACCCUGUUGUUGGGAAAGAAAAGCAGCGUGUGAAAACCCCGCUGUUCUGACGGUACCUAAUGAAAAAGCACCGGCUAACUUCGUG
rnacentral:rRNA from 1 species